GGAAAGCACUUUUGUCUCUGGUGUUUGAUAACACAGGAUGAGAUCUCCAUUCCUUUGAGCGAGAGGGGUCUUAAAAGUCCAAGAACUUUACAAGGGAUUAUUGAUGACAACAGCAAAUUUCGAGCAGGAGGGUCCAUUCUUAAGAAGGCCAAGCAGUACAACAAUGCUAUAAGACAGCCUAUGUUUAAAAUCCCUCUUGAUCAGGUGUGUCCACCARCUUUACAUGUGAGCAUUGGAAUUUUCAACCGACUUUUCUUACUGUUAGAGCAAUCUAUGAAUAUACUGGAUGUAAAGAUUGCAUAUUCAUUGGCUGGAAAAUAAGAAGCAUGGUAAUGAGGAUUUCAAAAAUUAUGUAAAAGAACUUGAAGAAGCAAAUGAACUUGAGCUACAAGCCAACUUUGAAAAGCAAAAAGCAGAAGAAAUGGAGGAUAUUGCUACGUAUAUCUUGUUAAGCACUGAAGAUGAGGAACAAGGGGAAUGUUUGCUAAAGCAAGCAGAGCAAAUAAGACAUAGAGUUGCUGAAAUGGUAAAUAUAAUCUUCAUAAAUGAACA